AUUAAAUGAAAAAGAUUAUCAAAAAAUAAAAAGUUGAUUGUUGGAUUUUUACAUAUUUUUUAUGCGGUGACAUUUUGAUUGCGAGCUUUUUACGUAAAUUCACUAGUAAUUAUCAUAAUAUUAAUUAUAAUUUAAUUUUUAAAAUAAUAUACCUUAUUAUUUUAAUAGUACCUGGUUAGGUGAGCAUUGAAAAACACGAGUUACUCAAGUAAGUACUCGAAUUAUUGCAUACUCUGAAGUCUCUAAAGUCUUUUUUAAUAUUAUACGAUUUAUAGAAUUAUUUGAGCUAUUCACAAGGAUUGGUCCAAGAAGAAGAGCACUAGAAGGAAGUACCAUCC